ensembl:lncRNA
CUCCCCCGGGGAUCCCUCCCGGAGGCCGAGUCGGCCGCCUCCGCUGCCCCGAGCGCCUUCCUCCUCGCUCCGUCCCUCCUCCGCCGACCCGGCGGGGCGGUCCGCGUCCGCAGCCCCCGCCCCCGUCCCGCAGCGGUAGGCGCUCGACUCGCUCCGCCGCCCCGGGCAGCGGCGGGGGCGGCCCCGUCCGGCAGAGAGCCGCGCGGCAGAGCUCCGUGGAGUCCCCGGCCGUCCGUGGAGGAAGAGGAUGCCGGGGCUGUGGUGAAAGGGCUCUGACCAGCUACUAGAGAAAAGAGAAAGUGAAGUCAAACUUUUAAGUCUGAGAAAGAGGAAGGCGCCACUACAGAAUAAGAAGUUUCUGACCUUUACCUGUUGGAAGUCAUACAACAAG